UACGAAGGGGGCUAGCGUUGCUCGGAAUCACUGGGCGUAAAGCGCACGUAGGCGGAUUGCUAAGUCAGGGGUGAAAUCCUGGAGCUCAACUCCAGAACUGCCUUUGAUGCUGGCGAUCUUGAGUCCGGGAGAGGUGAGUGGAACUCCGAGUGUAGAGGUGAAAUUCGUAGAUAUUCGGAAGAACACCAGUGGCGAAGGCGGCUCACUGGCCCGGUACUGACGCUGAGGUGCGAAAGCGUGGGGAGCAAACAGG
rnacentral:rRNA from 1 species